GGACAACCACCGUCUCAUCCUGGUGGAGAUGCCCAUGGCUGCCCCACCCACCUGGAGGGAUGCGGGAACAGUGAGAACAUCACAGCUGCCAUCAUCCUCAAGGGCACCACCUCCUGUGCCCAAACAUUGGGUGGAAAAGUUCUGGGUGCUCCCCGAGCCCCCAAGCCCUGUGGUGGAGAUGCCACAGAAAGCAGCAAAGUGGGACACUCAGACGGAGCUGUGUCCCUGCUGGUGGAUCUGAAGAAAUUACAUGAAAAGUCCCAAUUUGUACCUAAAGCCAGCUGGGAGGCUUGUGGAGGUGCUUCUGGGGCUUUCUUGCCUUGUCCAGAAGACCCUCCUGAAUCAGAGGAUCGUGGCCUGGGGGCCGAGACUGAUGGAGAUAUUCGCUUCCAGGACCAGCAACCCCUGCUUGCAGAGGGGCUCAAAAUGGAGCUUCAGCAGCAGCAAGAGCAGCUCCUCCAGAAAUUGCCCGAUAAGAACAACAAGUUGGUGGAAGAUCUGGACCUCGAAGUGAUGCAAGGUGGGUGCUCGUCCUUGAAGAGGGCUGCUAACGAGGAGGUGGAAACGCUGGAAGAAAAAAAGUGUUCCAUCAGUUGAGAGGGUCUGAGAUGGCCCAGAGGGACUCUUAGAGAUGAUCAAGUUCAUCCCUCUUCAGUAGAAGAUCUACAACUGUGUUAUCCCAGUUUCGCUGCGUUAUACCAGCAUCGUCCCCAUCUAAGCAGCCAUUCAGUUUCUGCUUUCCAAAAAAUUGCAUUUUAUUUAUUUAUUUAACUUAUAUACCGCCCACUCUACCCAAAGGUCUCUGGGCAGUUUACAACAAUAAAAAAAUAAGACAAUUAAAAUACA
rnacentral:lncRNA from 1 species